CGUAAAACAAAAAACAUAUAUAUAGCUCUGUCUGCACCCUUCCUCUUCGCUGCCUCUCCUCUCUUACGCCUUGGGGUCAAAUUCUAAUCAGUGAAGAGAGAUCAACAAGUUUUCAAUCUCCAGAUCCGCGCUCUAAAACCUUCCUUUUCUUUUCAAAAAACACGGAUCUGAAGCUUAAGCCAUUGCUCACAAACCCUCCACAGCUCCAUUUUUGCACGCCUCUCUCUCUCUUCAGCUUUACUAAAUAUGAUAACUGUGGUUUGUAUUUUGAGAGUUACUAAUUUUUGCUUGCUUUCUAGUUUAAAUGGCUGCAUUCUUUGUGUGUUCUGUUUGGUGGCGUAGAUCAUUUAUAGAAAGAGAAAAUGCAAGAAAAGCAAAGUGGGUAAUUAAUUAUUAAUUAACAAAUAUAAUUCGCCGGCUAGAAUUUGUUUCCUGUUUUUCAGUUUGGAACAGAGCAUCCCAAAAUAACAACUGAUGAUUCGUUGAACUCUGAUAUAGAGCGUCGUCUAACACAUAGAAAGAAGGAAGUAUGCUUGAAUUCCAUGAUAAUAGCUAUUUGAAAAGGCUUGAAAUUAUUCUAUACAACUCUGACAGUUUGCAGAAUUCCAGUUUCGGCAUGAUUUGCAAAUACAUGAACGCGAUUCAUGUACAAUCGAAUAUCAUAGUUGAAAAUCUUAUUUGGCAUUUCUUUGAAGAAAAUAAUAGUCAUAGUAGCCUAGUCAUUCACUGAAAAAGUAUGGCUAUGCAUCUGUUCAGCGCAAGUAAUAAAACAAUGGAUGUAGAUAUGGAGUUGAUUCUUAUAACAGUCAUGCUGAUAUGUUGAGAUUUUAUAAAAGCAUAAAACUGAUAUCACUAUUUGGUAAUUCCUGAUGGCACCAGAUCAAUCUCAAAAACCAAUCCACCUUUCAAUAUAUUUACAAGCAAAAAAAUACUUUGAAAAGCUAUAGCUACCACUGCCACUACCAAACCACUGUUCUAAACACCCCUAUAAACCAAAACUACCUGAUUGGUUAAUUGAACGUACCCAAUAUUAAAACUAACCACUGCAUUUUCUUGUUUGAUUUUUGCUAUAAAAUACAGUUGCGGCCAUGAGUGCGUGCAGCUGCAGUUGUUAUAGCCGUAGGGGACUAUUGCUAUUGAGUUACAAAAUUCAGGGAAUUGCAUACCAAGAGAGCCAAAUAUAUUUGCAGAUUACCAAAGAGAAUACUAUAUCAGUAGCAAUAAUCCCUGCGGCCAUUACAACUGCAGAGAAUUGCAUACCAGGUGAGAUACAUGUAUUAGAAGGUUCAACCAUGAAGAAGCAUGGAAUGAUAGCUAAAGAAUUUAUGGCAAAGAGUCCAAACAUGUAGAAAAAAUGGAUUCAAAAUUUUAUCAGUGAACAUAGAGGAUCAACCAUUUGAGCUUUAUAUCCC